rnacentral:rRNA from 1 species
UACGGAGGGGGCAAGCGUUAUUCGGAAUCAUUGGGCGUAAAGGGCGCGUAGGCGGCCUGGCAAGUCAAAGGUGAAAUCCCUCGGCCCAACCGAGGAACCGCCUUUGAAACUGCAAGGCUUGAGGCCGGGAGAGGGUAGCGGAAUUCCCAGUGUAGCGGUGAAAUGCGUAGAUAUUGGGAGGAACACCAAUGGCGAAGGCAGCCCCCUGGGUCGAUACUGACGCUCAUGCACGAAAGCGUGGGUAGCAAACAGG